rnacentral:rRNA from 1 species
UACAGAGGUGGCAAGCGUUGUUCGGAAUUACUGGGCGUAAAGGGCGCGUAGGCGGUUCGUUAAGUCCUGUGUGAAAUCCCCCGGCUCAACUGGGGAACUGCACAGGAAACUAGCGGGCUUGAGUUCGGGAGAGGGAAGCGGAAUUCCGGGUGUAGCGGUGAAAUGCGUAGAGAUCCGGAGGAACACCGAGGCGAAGGCGAG